rnacentral:rRNA from 1 species
UACGAAGGGGGCUAGCGUUGCUCGGAAUCAUUGGGCGUAAAGCGCACGUAGGCGGCUUCGCAAGUCGGAUGUGAAAUACCUAGGCUCAACCAAGGACGUGCAUCCGAAACUGCGAGGCUUGAGUACAGAAGAGGAUCGCGGAAUUCCCGGUGUAGAGGUGAAAUUCGUAGAUAUCGGGAGGAACACCAGUGGCGAAGGCGGCGAUCUGGGCUGAUACUGACGCUGAGGUGCGAAAGCGUGGGGAGCAAACAGG